UACGGAGGGGGCUAGCGUUGCUCGGAAUUACUGGGCGUAAAGCGCGCGUAGGCGGCGCACCUAGUGAGGCGUGAAAUCCCCGGGCUUAACCCGGGAACUGCGUUUCAUACUGGUGUGCUAGAAUCCGAGAGAGGGUAGUGGAAUUCCCAGUGUAGAGGUGAAAUUCGUAGAUAUUGGGAAGAACACCAGUGGCGAAGGCGGCUACCUGGCUCGGUAUUGACGCUGAGGUGCGAAAGCGUGGGGAGCGAACAGG
rnacentral:rRNA from 1 species